UACGGAGGGUGCAAGCGUUAUUCGGAAUUAUUGGGCGUAAAGCGCAUGUAGGUGGUUCGCUAAGUCUGAUGUGAAAUCCCUGGACUCAAUCCAGGAAGUGCAUUGGAUACUGGCAGACUAGAGUGCAGGAGAGGAAAGCGGAAUUCCAGGUGUAGAGGUGAAAUUCGUAGAUAUCUGGAGGAACAACAGAAGCGAAGGCGGCUUUCUGGACUGCAACUGACACUGAGAUGCGAAAGCGUGGGGAGCAAACAGG
rnacentral:rRNA from 1 species